rnacentral:rRNA from 1 species
GACGGAGGGGGCUAGCGUUGUUCGGAAUUACUGGGCGUAAAGCGUGCGUAGGCGGCCUUUCAAGUUGGGUGUGAAAGCCCGGGGCUCAACCCCGGAAAUGCGCCCAAGACUGUUUGGCUAGAGUCUCGGAGAGGUGAGUGGAGCUCCCAGUGUAGAGGUGAAAUUCGUAGAUAUUGGGAAGAACACCAGUGGCGAAGGCGGCUCACUGGACGAGUACUGACGCUGAGGCACGAA